CAGCAGCCGCGGUAAUACGUAGGGUGCGAGCGUUGCCCGGAUUUAUUGGGCGUAAAGGGCGCGUAGGCGGUCACGCACGUCCGUUGUGAAAUCGCUCGGCUCAGCUGGGCGGGGUCAGCGGAUACGGCGUGGCUGGAGCAAGCUAGGGGGCAAUGGAAUUCCCGGUGUAGUGGUGGAAUGCGUAGAUAUCGGGAGGAACACCAGUGGCGAAGGCGGUUGCCUGGAGCUUUGCUGACGCUGAUGCGCGAAAGCGUGGGGAGCGAUCCGGAUUAGAUACCCGGGUAGUCCACGCCGUAAACGAUGCGGACUAGGUGUCGGGGGUAUCGACCCCCUCGGCGCCGCAGCUAACGCAUUAAGUCCGCCGCCUGGGGACUACGGCCGCAAGGCUAAAACUCAAAGGAAUUGACGG
rnacentral:rRNA from 1 species